GUUACUGUAGCUUAAAAACUCCCAAAGCGCGGCCCUGAAGUUGCCGUGAUGGACACACUACUUUCCCAGGAAACA
rnacentral:tRNA from 1 species